rnacentral:tRNA from 1 species
GCCUGGGUGGCUCAGUCGGUUGAGCCUCCGACUUCGGCUCGGGUCAUGAUCUCGCGGUUCGUGAGUUCAAGCCCCGUGUCAGGCU